rnacentral:lncRNA from 11 species
AUGGGCUGGAGAUGUCAGUACCUUGGUCCUUUCAUUACAGCCUCCUACUUCCCGACUGAUAUCAGGUGGUGCAGUAGUGCUAUAAUUUCUCCAGCAAUGCCAGGUGUAGACAAUGUGGCAUGUCUCAUUAAGAGCCACAUCCACUGUUUUAAUGAGGACGCCAACGUACCUGUGUUGGUGCCAAGAUCAAAGGUCUACAAGCCCUGGAGGGACAGGCGGAAACCAAAGAGGCCAGUGUAUAGGAUUGGAGCCUACACCUUUCUGCGCAAGGACAAGAACACCCCCAUAUUCGUCAUCCCAAUCCGGCUGUCUUCCUGAGACCAUUGAUUCAUCGGACACCUUUCCUGCCGAUCGUCUUGCUUCUGAUCCUUUCCUUUGUAGGAACGUUUUUCUUGAUGCCAGGUGUAACGAAGUGUGAUUUUUUUUAGUUUACAGAUGUCAUGUUUAGUUGCGUUUUAAAAGUCAGUUUAAAAUAAGUUUGGUGACUUAUUUUAAGUUAGCCUGUUUCCAGAUAAGGAACAGAUAGUCUGUGAUUGAAAUUCACAGGGUGACUGCAGGUUAAAGCAGUAAAGGAGGAAGUAGUAUUUUAAAGUUUGAAACAUCUCAAUAUAGCUUUGCAACUGUUAAUCUAAGUGCCUCUAAAGAAGUUACUGUAACCUUUAAGCUUGUGCCUGAAUAAACGUGUUAUUGUUCUUUUUAACAUCUCAGUCUCUGAAAUCUAUAUUACCAUCAAAAGCAAACAAGAAAGAAGAAAAAUAAAAUUUUAAAAGUCUCCUCUCUAAGUAGCCAGUGGCUAUAUCAUCCCAUAGUGGUGGCAAGAGUUGAUAAUCCCCUUAAC